rnacentral:tRNA from 1 species
UCCUUGGUGGUCCAGUGGCUAAGACUCUGCACUCUCAAAACAGGGGGCCUGGGUUUGAUCCCUGGUCAGGGAA